AGUUCCUCAUGUUCGCAAAACAAAGAUACAUAAACUUAAACAUUGAAAACAAAAGAAAGAUUACACCUAGAAACGCUCCAACAAUCCAACGUCUUGAAUGGCAAGCACGUCCAAGGGUCUCCUUCUUUCUUCUUUGCUGCGACACAAGGGUGUUUAGUGAUGAUUUGUGGUGAAUUGUGGUGGUGGAUGGAUGUAGGUAGGUUAUGGUGAAGGAUGGAAUGCUUAGAAUGGUCAGCAAGGGCCUUUAUUUAUAGGGGAAGGAAGGGCUACGAAUUUGAAGUGGUUUUAGGGAAGGAUUUAUGUAGGAAAAGGAAUGUGAUUUUGGGUCAGAAAAUAGGCAAGAAAGGUGCAGGAAUUAAAGAGAAAAGGAAAGGGAAAUUCGGCAGAAUUUGUAGGACAGAUUUAGGAAUGUGUUUUGAGGCACAAAAUAGGUAAGAAUAGAUGUAAGGUGUGGCAUAGGGUUUUAGGGAAAAGGAAAUACGUUUUAGGACAUAAAAUAGGAAGGAGAAUCUCUCCCUUGUGCAGCAAGGGAUGGAACAAAACAGGAAUGUGGUUUAGGUGUAGAAAAUAGGAAAGAAAGGUUGUGUCUUGUGCAACAAAGAACUAGAAAUUAAAGGGAUAGUGCGGCAAUAUCUAGGGUAAGUUCUAGGACUUCUAGAAACAUGUAAUUAGGCAACCUAACAUGUUUUGAAACCCUUUUGUGGCAGGAACAUAGGUGAGGAAGGAUUAGGAAACUUCCAAGCCAAGAAUAGAAACUUUCAAGAAUGGAAACCUCUAAGAAUAGAAACUUUGAUUUCCAAUUAUGAACUCUUUGUUCUUCAUUUUCAUUUCUUCAUUUCAUUAUUCAUUCCUAGCCUCCUUUGAUCUUCAAUUUCG
rnacentral:lncRNA from 1 species